GACGAACGCUGGCAGCGUGCUUAACACAUGCAAGUCGAACGGUAAGGCCCUUCGGGGUACACGAGUGGCGAACGGGUGAGUAACACGUGGGUGAUCUGCCCUGCACUUCGGGAUAAGCCUGGGAAACUGGGUCUAAUACCGGAUAGGACCCUGGGAUGCAUGUCCUGGGGUGGAAAGCUUUUGCGGUGUGGGAUGGGCCCGCGGCCUAUCAGCUUGUUGGUGGGGUGAUGGCCUACCAAGGCGACGACGGGUAGCCGGCCUGAGAGGGUGACCGGCCACACUGGGACUGAGAUACGGCCCAGACUCCUACGGGAGGCAGCAGUGGGGAAUAUUGCACAAUGGGCGCAAGCCUGAUGCAGCGACGCCGCGUGAGGGAUGACGGCCUUCGGGUUGUAAACCUCUUUCAGCACCGACGAAGCGCAAGUGACGGUAGGUGCAGAAGAAGGACCGGCCAACUACGUGCCAGCAGCAGCCGCAG
rnacentral:rRNA from 1 species